UUCACAAGAACAAAACUGACAUGGAAGAAAUUUAUAAAAUCGUGAUCAUUAUGAAGAAAGUUCGGGAUGAUUAUGAAAGCGUGAAAGCAAGCUGCUUGAUGGAGAUGCAGCGCAAGGGGGAGGAGCAGACAAUAAAGAACCUGAUCAUCCGCAUAGACGGCGCAUUAAAGCAGAUCCGUAUAACGCAGGACCAAUACCAGCAAAUUCAAAUGGGAUAAAACAAGAACACAGUGAACCGUACUCAGUGAACACAGCAGUCGAUGCAACGCGAUAGGGAGUGGAUAUAAAAAAGUAACAAAGACCCAGAAGAUACAAAUGCACUAAAACAAGAAACCGACAAGUACAAGUACACGGCGUGCCAGCCAGCAGGUGACACAGAACUAAAUAACUAAAUAACUAACUAAAUAAAUAAUAAUA